UUUUUUUUUUUUCCCUUGGAAUCUCUCUCUCUCAAACGAACUUCUUUCUUUCCUUCUGUUUCUUCCCUGAAACACUUCCUAGUCCUUGCUCUUGUUUUCUUUUCUCUGCUUCCAUUCUUGUUUUGCCCUAUUCUUCCUUCUCCUCUAUUCUUUUAAUUUUUUAGUUCUCCUCCUCUUCUUUUCUUGGUUAUAAAUAGUCUGAAGGUCGAUCCAUCAAGAUUCACCUUUGUUUUACUCUCAUUAUCAUUAGUAAUCAAGAAUAUUUUUCAAUCAUUUUUUCAAACACCAUUUUUGCAUCAAUAUUAUCUUUCUUGAUUCUUGAUUCUUGAUUUCUUAUUGCACAAAACUCCUGCCCAUUUUUUUAUGUUAUUUUUUAUAUGGCUUGAAUUUUAGAUAUAUCUUCAUUGAUCUG
rnacentral:misc_RNA from 1 species